rnacentral:rRNA from 1 species
CGUCGACCGGCGCACGGGUGAGUAACGCGUAUCCAACCUGCCCCACACUAAGGGAUAACCCGCAGAAAUGUGGACUAAUACCUUAUAUUUUCCACCAAGGGCAUCGUCGAUGGAACAAAGAUUUAUCGGUAUGGGAUGGGGAUGCGUCCGAUUAGGUUGUUGGCGGGGUAACGGCUCACCAAGCCUUCGAUCGGUAGGGGUUCUGAGAGGAAGGUCCCCCACAUAGGAACUGAGACACGGUCCUAACUCC